GUUUCUAAAGUAUUGGAGGAGUUUGAUGUUGAAGAGCAACCGAAAACCAUGUUAGAAAAUCGCUUUCCCAACAUUAAGAUUAUAGAAUCCGGGGUAAAACAACUAAAGAGUAAAGAACACUGCAUUUUAACAGGAGAUGGCAGUCAGCAUGUGUAUAAGAAACUGUUUAUGUGCUGGAGCUAAACCAAAGUUGAUAUGUGAAGGAAAUCCUUACAUACUAGGAAUCCGUGGUACAGAGUGCUCAGUUCAUGCUGGUGUUCUGCGUUUUUUCCAUUGUGCAUGUAUCCCAGAUACAACAAUUAAGCUGAAGUUUGAUCUAGGAGAAGACGGAGGCCUGAAGGUGGAUGCUCACAUGCACACGUCUCUCUCUGAUGUCUAUGCUGCGGGUGACAUGUGCACCGCGUCCUGGAGGCCCAGCCCGGUGUGGCAGCAGGUCGUAAUGCUGGGAAGAUAAAACACACAGGGCUUAGGUUCAGAUCAUGAAUUAAUGCUGAGAUGUACGAAAGGACAAGAAUACGUCAAAGUUGUCAUGCAGAAUGGGCGAAUGAUGGGAGCUGUCUUAAUUGGUGAAACUGAUUUAGAAGAAGCAUUUGAAAAGUUAAUUUUAAAUCAGAUGGACCUUUCAUCAUAUGGAGAUGUGCUAGAUCAAAAUAUUGAUUUAGAAGAUUAUGUAGUUCUUAAAAUGACUUUUUUUAAUCAAAAUGAAGUUCCAAACAACACAUGAAAGUCACAAUAAGAUUAAUAAUCCCACGGGUCCUUCAUAUGAGCCCUACCCUGAAGGGAUAUGUUGUCAGAGACACAGUGGUACAUAGCAUAUUUUUGCAGGCUUGAGAGUAUUGAGUGUGGGAGAGUCGUUGGUUCUCGACCUCUGCUGCUCAGGCCGACUUCUCAACCAGUGUUGAUCCACAACCAACAUUGUGAGGGCAGGAUGCAUCGCAAAUUAAACAACACUAAAACGGACUUUUCACAUUCUAAAAGGUUGGAAACUCUAGUCUAUGUUAAAAGGUAGACUAGUUUAAACUAUUAGUUACCAUCUCUAUAGAAAGUAAAGGUUUGUUUUCUCUCUUCCAUACUCAGAUUCUAAGAAGAAAAUUGCUUAUCUCUUAUGUUCCACUGGGCCCAGGACAGUACUAGUUAGAGCAUCCCAUAAGCUCUCAUGUGCUUUUUCAGUAUAUAGAAAGGAAUAACUAGUUACCCUGAAACAGCUCUGCAUGGGCUUCUUUACUUGCAUAGCAAUGACAUGUGUCUCACUGUUCAGAAGAUUGGCUUUAGGUCCUAUUUUCAAAUAUGAGAUGGUAGCAAAUGCUGUGAAACUGUGGUCUUCUCUGUGGGAGGUAAAAGCUGACACUCAGAAAGGCUUGCAGAAAUUAUAAAAAAAAUCCAUAAAUUUUAAUAAUUUUAAUACACUGAUAGGGACUGAAACUUGCACAAAACAAAUAACUUUCUAUAAAUUGCGCUUUUUUUGACAACAGUGAUCAGUUAAAGUUGGAGUUUACUAGGUAAAUUUUAUAUGGCAUUUAAGAGUUUUAUAUGAAACAACUGGAAAACUACUUGUUCUGUUGCAGUUAUGAGAAACAAUCAUAAAGACAACACCAAAGGACAAAAAAUGGAUUUGUAUAUACUUAAGAUACUGCUGUAGAAGAAGAUGUACAAUAAUUUUCUCCAGGUCUUCACGAGCAAGUUUGGGCGGAGCAACACCUGCCACUCUCAAUUUUGCUGCACCCUUUCCCAUCCAAGAAUCAAUCAGUUUCAGUGGCGUGAGCUUUUCAUUCAGGUCCUCUGCCUGCUUCAGGAUCUUGAUUAGAUCUCUGCAGUGUGCUGUGACAUUCUUUCUUUCACAUGCUGUAAUGAGACAGGCAACUGGGAUUUAGAAAUUACAGCAAGCACAGGCUAGUUGAAGUGGUUUAAAAUGAGUCAUCCACAUCAGCCACCCUAAACUGUUUUGUUCUGCAUUAGAACUAGGCUAUUCCCUAAGUCUACCACUAAACUAAGUUAGAGUCUCUGUAAGACAUUAUUGAAUUUACAGUAACGUAAAAACAAUAAGCUGGUUACCAGAAGGCCUUGGGGUAUGCUCUAGAACUACAGUGUAUGCCAUACAUGACAGAGUUAGAAUCCGUCUGUUUUUCAUAUUUACCUGAUUUGUGCUCAUUAAGCAACAUUUUGAAAACUAUGGCUUCCUCCACACUCUGAUUUAGAGACAAGAAUGUCCUGCUCAGAUACUCCUAAUUACUGAUUUUAGCACCCGACUUACAUAUAUAUCAGACUUUUGUUAAUGUGGUCACUAUAAUGCAGUAUAAUAAACUCAUAUACAAGUUUCUCUAGCUGCAAAGUUAAAAUUAUAGUGACCUUCACCCACCAAGACAUCAAAACUGAGAGAACCAGUUAGUCCAACUCUUCAGACACAACACACAGGAUAAAAAAAGUGAAAAUACAGCACUAAAACACUGCUAAAUUAGUGUCUGAGUGGUUAGCCAUUAUCUAGAUCAGAAACGAUUGACCAUAAUCUCUCCUUUGCAUUAAAUUUCUCUUCCCAAUCGGUGACUAGCCUUUUAAUAGCAUUACUAUUCAGAAGAAUUUAAACUUUCCUUCACUUCUUAAAAAUUUAACAUGCCUAUAAUCUAGCAAUGUAAGAUACAUACAUCCACACAGCACUUCUCCCUUUAUUUACCUUAGCUUUAAGACUUUUGAAUUGUUGCAGGGCACCUGGGUGGAUCAGUUGUUAAGCAUCUGCCUUCAGCUCAGGUCAUGGUCCCAGGGUCCUGGGAUCGAGCCCUGCAUUGGGCUCCCUGCUCAGUGGGAAACCUGCUUCUCCCUCUCCCACUCCCCCUGCUUUGUUCCCUCUCUCGCUGUCUCUGUCAAAUGAAUAAAAUCUUUAAAAAAAAAAAAACAAAAAAAUGGGGCACCUGGGUGGGGCUCAGUCGUUAAGCAUCUGCCUUUGGCUCAGGUCAUGGUCCCAGAGUCCUGGGGUCAAGCCCCACAUCGGGCUCCCUGCUCAGCAGGAAGCCUGCUUCUCCCUCUCCCACUCCCCCUGCUUGUGUUCCCUCUCUCGCUGUGUCUGUCUCUGUCAAAUAAAUAAAAAUAUUUAAAAAACCCAAACUUUUGAAUUGUUGCUUUUGAACCUAGAAAAUGCUAUUCACAGCUUGCUUAAUCCAUUUUGGGGUCUAAUACUGCCCCCAUGUAGUCCUAGCUAUAUAUAUUAGCCUAUAAAAAUUUAAAAACAAUGAACUAGGGAGUGUUCCAGUCUAAGAUGGUGACACAGGAAGAUCCUGAACUCCCCUCAUGGGCACACCAAAUCUACACCUAUUUAUAGGCAAUUCCUCCUGAAGAACAACUGAGAGCUCACUGAACAGCUUCUGUACAACAACACAGACCACCUAGAGAACCACCGAGAGAGACUGAGAGGUGGUAACAAAGGGUGACCCCACCCUCGCUGCUGCAAACUGCAGUGCAGAGGACAGUAAUGAGGUACCAGGAACAGAUUCAUCUAUGUUGGGCCACAGAAAAUAAAAGCUAUGGCUUAAAAGAUCCACCAGAAUAUAAAGGAAAUAGCCCUUGAACCAUGCUAACUAUCUCUGGGUUAGAGGGUCCAGUGAAUGCCACAGUUUAUGUCCCCCUUGACAGCAUAGAUGGGAGCAAGGCCCAGGUGCCCUAUCAGCCUACCACCUCAGUGAGCUCUGAGCCCCCAAAGCACACCAGCCCCAGCUGUCCCACCAAGGCAGCCCCAUGGUGGUGCACACGAUGACAGCCCUGGUCAGUGCUCACUACAGCUCCACAAAGCACCUCAGAACACUCCAGGCCUGCACCACUUUGGCUUCAGACAGCUUUCUAGGCCAUCCCCCAGCUUCCCUGCCAGGACAACCUGGCUUGCACUCACUUCAGCUGUCCUUCCAGGGUACCAUCUGUGCAAAGAGCCCUGUGAAUGCCCCAGCCCUUUCAACUACAGCUGACUGCCAGGUUGUCCCCUGCACGAAGCACCCAGGGAUCUCCUCAGCCAGCAACCCGCUGCAGUUCUAGCUGCCCCAACCAGGGCAUCUUCUGUGCACGCCAGAAUACCCCAAUUUACACCCACUUUGGUUUCAGCCAUCCUGCCAGGUGCCCUAUGCAUGGAGAACCCCAGGACCACCCCUGGCUUGCACCCACUUUAGCUUCAUCUGUUCUGCCACGGUACCCUCUGCAAAGAGACUCAGAAAUGCCCCAGCCCACACCCACUUAAACUCCAGCCAUCCCACCCAGGUGACCCCACUACAGGGUCCCCUGCAACCUAUAGUGCAUGCCAGCCACAGCUCCAGCCAGUCAACAAAAAUCACCAGGCAUGUACUAUCUACGUACACAGGGGACAACCACACACCAAGACCAUUCCUUCAACUUUGGGAUUAGCAGCAGUUCUGCCUCAUUCAUGGAAACAAACACAAAGUCAAGCAAAAUGGGGAAACAAGGCAAUAUGCUCCAAAUCAAAAAACAAAACAAAACUUCAAAAUAAGAACUUAAUGAAAUGGAGAUAAUAUGCAUGAUGAAGAGUUGAAAGUAAUCUUAAAAAUGCUUGCUGGACUGAAGGAUGAAAAAACUCUAAGAACUUCAACAAAAAACUGGAAACCACAAAGAACCAGAGUUGAAAAAUACAACAACUGAAAUGAAAAAUACAUUAGAGGGAAUCAACAGCUGAUUAAUGGAUGCAGAAGAAUAGAUCAAUGAUCUGAAAGGUGGGGUAAUGGACAGCACCCAGCAAAAAUAAAUAAUUUUUAAAAAUGAGGAUAAGUUAAGGGAUCUGUUAGACAAUAUCAAGUGAACAUUCAUAUUAUAGAGGUCCCAGAAACAGAAAAGAGAAAGGGGCAGAAAAUUUGAAGAAAUAGCUGAAAACUUCCCCAAGGAAGGAAACAAACACCCAGAUUCAGGAAGCACACAGAGCCCCUUAACAAGAUGAACUCAAGAAGGUCCACACACAAAAUUAAAAUGGUCAAAGAUUAAAGAGAAAAGUGUAAAAGCAAGAGAGAAACAAAAAGUUACAUAAAAGAAAAACCACAUAAGGCUAUCAGCUGAUUUUUUGGCAGAAACUUCGCAGGCCAGAAGAGUGUGGCAUGAUACAUUCACAGUGCUGAGAGGAAAAAAACCUACAAUCAAGAAUACCCAGCAAGAUUAUCAUUCAGAAUUGAAGAAGAGAGAGAGUUCACAAACAAAAGGUAAAGGAGUUCAUCACCACUAAACUGACCUUAUAAGAAAUCCUAAAGGGACUUCUUUAAGUGGAAAAGAAAAGGCCAUAAUUAGAUGUAGGGAAAUUAUCAAUAAAAAGAUGUAAUACAUGGCAACAUAUACAUAAACCAUGGAGGGGGUGUGAAAAAGAAGUUCUUUUAGAAUGUGUUCAAACUUAAAUGACCAUCAUCUAAUAUACACUGCUUUAUACUUAGAAUGUUAUAUAUGAACCUCAUGGUAACCACAAAUCCAACACCUGUAAUAGAUAAAGGGAAAAAAUACAGUAUACAGAAUAUAGUCAAUGGUACUGCAAUAGUGUUAUGUGGUGACAGAUGGUAGCUACACUUCUGAUGGGCACAGCAUAACUUAGAGUUGCUGAAUCACUAUGUUGUACAUCUGAAACCAAUGUAACAUUGUGUUAACUCAAAUAAAAGAAAUAAAUUAAAAAAAUAGGGGCUCUUGGUUGGCUUAUCAGUGGAGGAUGCAACUCUUGAUCUCAGGAUUGUGAGUUUGAGCCCCACACUGGGCAUAGAGAUUACUUUUUUAAAAAUUUUAAAAAUAAAACAAUAAAAAGGCAAACUUAAAAAAAAAAAGUGGGAAAAAAAGUAAUAGAAAGCCAAACAUAACACCACAGGAAGUCAUCAAUCACAAAGAAAGCAAGAAAAGAAAACUACAAAAACAACCAGAAAACAAAAUGGCAAUAAGUAAACAGCUAUCAAUAAUUACUUUAAAUGUAAAUGGUCUAAAUGUUCCACUCAAAAAACACAGGGUGCUGGAAUGAUAUACAAAAACAAGACUUGGGGUGCCUGGGUGGCUCAGUUAAGCGUCUGCCUUUGGCUCAAGUCAUGAUCCCAGGGUCCUGGGAUGGA